rnacentral:rRNA from 1 species
GACGAACGCUGGCGGCGUGCCUAAUACAUGCAAGUAGAACGCUGAAGGAGGAGCUUGCUUCUCUGGAUGAGUUGCGAACGGGUGAGUAACGCGUAGGUAACCUGCCUGGUAGCGGGGGAUAACCAUUGGAAACGAUAGCUAAUACCGCAUAAGAGUAGAUGUUGCAUGACAUUUGCUUAAAAGGUUCACUUGCUUCACUACCAGAUGGACCUUCGUUGUAUUAGCUAGUUGGUGGGGUAACGGCUUACCAAGGCGACGAUACAUAGCCGACCUGAGAGGGUGAUCGGCCACACUGGGACGGAGACACGGCCCAGAAUCCUACGGGAGGCAGCAGUAGGGGAUCUUCGGCAAUGGAAGGAAGUCUGACCGAGCAACGCCGCGUGAGUGAAGAAGGUUUUCGGAUCGUAAAGCUCUGUUGUAAGAGAAGAACGAGUGUGAGAGUGGAAAGUUCACACUGUGACGGUAUCUUACCAGAAAGCGACGGCUAACUACGUG